AAACAGCAUUGUGAUUAAGGUACUUAAUGUUGGACUAGUUGCAUUUUUAUGAAUUGCAUUUGAUCUGAUACCUUGAUCUUUGGUAUAAAUUGAAGAAGCUGCAUCUGUUUCUACAUCAUAGUAUCUCUCUUGCAAUUCAAUGUCAAGGAUGUCAUUGUCAUUGUGAUUGUGUGGAAUUCUGUAUCCUUGUUAACUACUAUUAAAUUUGUUUGCAUGUGGCACUUCUAUGAUUUUGUGGUUUUUUGAGCUAUGAAAGUGGGAAAAAGUGAUAGGUGGAUAACAUGCUUGUAAGUGCAGGUUUCAGAACAUGCAAGUUGGU
rnacentral:misc_RNA from 1 species